AACAGUUCUUGGAAGUGGCUGGGGCAGCAACGGCGGCGUAGCAGGGAAAAAAUCGGCGGCGACACGGUGGCAGCAGCUUCGUCAACGGCGACUCUCAUAGGGCCGCGCCAUUUCCAUGGAACCUCAAUAUGGAAAGGCGACGGCGGAGGCAUGGCCAGCGACUGGAGGUGCGGGCAGAGGUGUAGAAGAUCCGUGGGCGUGGCAUAGUAGGCGUCAGGUCGUCGCCAUGGUCAAGAUGCGUAUCCCAAAGAGGGAGGUCGUCAGGAUCGGAUCGUUGUCAA